CAGGGCCCCUUUAACAAAGCUGGCCGUCCACCGCGAUGAAGCUACACGACGGUGCCAGCGGACGGGGCAGUAGAGGGGGUGUGGUGAAGGGCAGCAGCAGGAGCGAGCAGCGAGCAGGGCAGCGGACGGCAGGGCACGGUGGCACCUCAACCCCGCACGGUGCCUUCCCACGAGUCUCACCCCGGUGACACGAUGUGUUUGAGGGGAGCCCGCAGAUUGCAGGAGUGCAGUGAUGUCCGGGCCACGGCUGAAACCCGGGUCGGCGCCCGCGACCUCAGCGGUGGCAGCCUCCGAGCCCCGACCUCUAGAGCCGCCCAGCCGCUCGCAGCCGGCCGGGAUGUCUCGGCUCGGUGCGUGCCGUCAUCAGGUGACGAUACAUCACCACGCACACCGCUACCAGCAGGACCUCGCGACAGGAGGAGGGUGGGGGCGGCGGGGAGAAUUCGUUUUUUCUUCUGAGCUGCAUUCAUUCAUUAAAACGGCACAGUGCGAGUGAGUGACCUUGGGCCUCCUUGGGGCACCGUCCUCCAUCGCCCCGGUCACCUGUUCAGUAAUAAUAAUGAAUCACAUUUAUAAAAAAGAGCCUUUGUACGAGGUGUACACACGGUGCUUUCCAUCGCACUCGGUAAAGAAACGAAACGAUCGCUGGCCCAAGGCGGAGGGAAAACGAAGUGGCAUUGAGGAGCUGCAGCGGAGAGAGCCGACGCGUCCUGAUGCCGCGUUUUAGAAGCCACGCUGGCGCUUCCUGCGAAAUCGCGAGCGGCACCAGCCAGGGCACCUGGGCGCUCGCUGCACAGCCGGGGAGCAGCGCGGCAGCAGCAGCAGCAGCGGUGGCCACUGCCAGCCGGAGUGCGGAGGAGGAGGGGAGGAGGAGCCGCGUCUGGGGAAAUGCGUGGCGGCCACCGGCCAUCGAAG